rnacentral:tRNA from 1 species
UCUUCUAUAGUUUAAUCAAAACAUUCCAAUUUCAUUGGGUAAACGGUCCAUAAGCCUGGAAGAA